rnacentral:rRNA from 1 species
GACGAACGCUGGCGGCGUGCCUAAUACAUGCAAGUCGAGCGAGCUUGCCUAGAUGAUUUUAGUGCUUGCACUAAAUGAAACUAGAUACAAGCGAGCGGCGGACGGGUGAGUAACACGUGGGUAACCUGCCCAAGAGACUGGGAUAACACCUGGAAACAGAUGCUAAUACCGGAUAACAACACUAGACGCAUGUCUAGAGUUUGAAAGAUGGUUCUGCUAUCACUCUUGGAUGGACCUGCGGUGCUUUAGCUAGUUGGUAAGGUAACGGCUUACAAAGGCAAUGAUGCAUAGCGGAGUUGAGAGACUGAUCGGCCACAUUGGGACUGAGACACGGCCCAAACUCCUACGGGAGGCAGCAGUAGGGAAUCUUCCACAAUGGACGAAAGUCUGAUGGAGCAACGCCGCGUGAGUGAAGAAGGGUUUCGGCUCGUAAAGCUCUGUUGGUAGUGAAGAAAGAUAGAGGUAGUAACUGGCCUUUAUUUGACGGUAAUUACCUAGAAAGUCACGGCUAACUACGUGCCAGCAGCCGCCGUAACAC